AGGCGAAACGGCCGUUUCUUAACGGCCGUCCAUGGGAAAUUGCCGACCCAUGCUGAUGAGCCAGGCACAU
rnacentral:hammerhead_ribozyme from 1 species